GGAAGCGUAGCUCAGUCGGUAGAGCAACUGACUCUUAAUCAGUGGGUCGCGAGUUCGAAUCUCGCCGCUUCCACCA
rnacentral:tRNA from 1 species